rnacentral:rRNA from 1 species
UAAGGAAUAUUGGUCAAUGGACGCAAGUCUGAACCAGCUAUGCCGCGUGGAGGAUGAAGGUCCUCUGGAUUGUAAACUUCUUUUAUCUGGGACGAAACACUUCUUUUCUAAGAGGCCUGACGGUACCAGAUGAAUAAGCACCGGCUAACUCCGUGCCAGCAGCCGCGGUAAUACGGAGGGUGCAAGCGUUAUCCGGAUUCACUGGGUUUAAAGGGUGCGUAGGUGGGUAUGUAAGUCAGUGGUGAAAUCCCCGAGCUUAACUUGGGAACUGCCAUUGAUACUAUAUGUCUUGAAUACCGUAGAGGUAAGCGGAAUAUGUCAUGUAGCGGUGAAAUGCUUAGAUAUGACAUGGAACACCAAUUGCGAAGGCAGCUUACUAUGCGGUGAUUGACACUGAGGCACGAAAGCGUGGGUGGCAAACA